rnacentral:rRNA from 1 species
UACGUAGGCAGCAAGCGUUGUUCGGAGUUACUGGGCGUAAAGGGUGCGUAGGCGGUUGUUUAAGUUUGGUGUGAAAUCUCCCGGCUCAACCGGGAGGGUGCGCCGAAUACUGAAUGACUAGAGUGCGGGAGAGGAGAGUGGAAUUCCUGGUGUAGCGGUGAAAUGCGUAGAUAUCGAGAGGAACACCUGCGGCGAAGGCGGGUUGCUGGGCCGACACUGACGCUGAUGCGCGAAAGCCAGGGGAGCGAACGGG